GUACACGCUGUGACUAGCAUAUCAAUAAGCGGAGGAAAAGAAACUAACAAGGAUUCCCUCAGUAACGGCGAGUGAAGCGGGAAGAGCUCAAAUUUGAAAUCUUGAAAGGUCACCUUUCACGAAUUGUAGUUUAAAGAAGUGUUUUCUGUUACGAUCGUAAUAUAAGUUCUUUGGAAUUGGACAUCACAGAGGGUGAGAAUCCCGUCUAUGAUUGCGAUUUGUAGCUUUGUGAUACACUUUCAAAGAGUCGGGUUGUUUGGGAAUGCAGCCCAAAAUGGGUAGGUAAAUUUCAUCUAAAGCUAAAUAUUGGCGAGAGACCGAUAGCGAACAAGUACCGUGAGGGAAAGAUGAAAAGAACUUUGAAAAGAGAGUUAAACAGUACGUGAAAUUGUCAAAAGGGAAGCGUUUGACACCAGUGUUGUUUUCUCGAAAAUCAAUUAAAAAUGGCUCGAUUUUGUAUUGCUGAGACCUUAAAAGCUCACUGUACAUUUUUCGUGUCUUUUUUAAUGCACUUUUCGUUUAACAAGUCAACAUCAGUUUCUUUUGUUGUAAAAGGGUCAUUGGAAGGUGGCUUUCUUUUCGGAGAAAGUGUUUAUAGCCUUUGGCCUCUGCAAUCGGAGAGACUGAGGUCUGCAGCGUAGACUCUUCGGGGUUAGAUACAUUUGUGCUAAGUUAUAGCUUUUUAUAGACAACUUGUUGACUAUAAUUAGUCUUGUAGCUUACUCGCUUAUGCUAUUUUACCUACGCUUAGGAUGUUGAGUAGCGACAUACGAC
rnacentral:rRNA from 1 species